AUAUAUAUAUAUAUAUAUAUAUAUAUAUGCAGCCUACCUACCUCAGUCCUGCAACAAUUUUCCAGCAUCCAGCUUCAUUCCACUGCCAAAAAAUUUCAGAACUUGAGCACUUCCCAUCUGACAACGAGCUGGAUGCUCCAUCGCAAACCACUCACUCUAAGGCAAAUCUCGAUCAAGCCUCCGGCUCAAAAAACACCUGCUUCUCAGGCCUCCGGCUCAAAGGCACAUCCUUCUAAUGGCUCCAAGGCACUUCCUCCUCGGCCUGGUUCCACCACCGAGCCCCAGGCCUCAGCACCCGGGCGGAGGCCCACAAGGCCAGCUACUCGCACACCUAAGCCACAAAGUCUCCGUUCACCUCCACCAUCGAGACACCAUCACCAUCCAUCCCUCCUAUUGGGAAAUGGACCGUCGCAGGAUUGUCAAACUCUGAAGUUAAGUUUUCUCGAAAAAACUUUCUGUACAUCUCUCUGGAAAAUGUUAAUUCAACCACCUCCAAAAAGGUAAUUAAAGCCUGCAAGACUAAAAGUUACCAUGUCUCUCUAACGUCGUCUUCCAGAUCAAGUUCCGGCUCCCCUCGUGUGUCAAGACGCAGCAGGCCAUCAGCAAGUCUGGGCCAUUCCCCAGACUCGGCCGCUCCUUACAUUGCACUGCCUUCCUCCUCUUCUCAACCAAUCACUGCGGUGCAUUCAGCUACCGCGCCGUAUGCAGCAUCACCCACUGGCAUGGUUUUACAACCUCCUAUCCUUCCCACUCCCUUCUACCUCCGGCUGCAGACGGUAGCGUGAGGCUGCCUCUGCCAGCCACUCAAGCUCAGCUACCCUUACCCUUCUGCUACUCUUUUUCCCUAUCAAUGGCCAGCAGCCCCCACUGCAGUUGUCCAGUUGAGGCUGCAUCUGUAAACGGUUAUGGCCCCUCCUUAUCUUCCCUCUAACCCUGAUAUCCAAUCUAAACCUCAGUACACGUUAUUCGUUGCAGUCCCUCUACCUACCCCACCGAAUGCCCUUGCUCUGGAACCUCCCCCUGUACCUAACAAAUCUUAUCAAAUCUUAGAUCCUCGCAGGUGCGGAUGUUGAUCUCUCAUCUCUCCUCUCUCUGCUAUGUCCCGCCUAUGUCCCGCCACGUUCUGCAACUUCCAAUCCAAUAUCGGAUUCCAGGAGAGAAUCUUUCUCAUUCUCCGGCAAUCAACAGCUGUGCCGUUUAACACUCGUAUCCUGCAGUCUUCAGCCUGCUGUCUCCUCAUGAUGACCUCCAUGUGAAGAACAAACUAUACCCAGAGAAGAACAAUUUUACUUACAAUACUCUAAUUUAAGUGUGGUGUUGCCAGUGUUGUUAAUUUAUUAAUGCUAGUCAGCUGUUAAUAUGAGUUUAAUGUUUUAUUAUUGAGCAAACUCUUGGAGGAACGGUUUAAUAUUCUAAGCAGUAAAGCACAUUUGUGAACUAUUGAAAGUAAUUUUAGUAAUGACUUACAUCCUGCAUAGCCUUUAGCGUUGCUUCCAUAUUGGCCUUGGAGCGCACAUACACACGCAGGCCUGUGGUCACUCUCUUCUUAUCCGCAAAGGAUGUUGAUGGUGAGGAUGGUUUAAAUGAGGGGGAGGCUGGUGAUGAUGACAAGAAUGAUGAUAGUGAUGGUGGUGAAGAUGAUGCUGAGAAUGAUGAAGAGUUUGGUGAUGAUAGUGGUGGUGAAGCUGGUGAUGACAGUGAGGAUGACUGUAAUAAUGGUAUGGUUGGUGAUGAUGGUGAAGAUGAUAAAGAUGGUGAUGAUGUAGCUGGUAAAGUCAAUGAUAGAAAUAGAUGGAGAAAAAGGCGAUGAUGGUGUUGCUGCUGGUGGUGAUGGUUGUGAGGUUAUUAAUGAAGACAAUGGUGGGGAUGGUGAAUUUGGUAAUAAAGAUGGUGAUGACAUUAGUAUUGGUGUUGCUGAAAGUGAGGGUGAUGAUGGUGAGGAUUGUUUUGUUGACAGUAAUGAAGAUGAUGAUGAUGAUAAUGUUGGUGAUGAAGCCUGUUAGUUAGCUGAUGAUGGCAAGUUUGAGGAAGAUGAUGCAGAGGUUAUUGAUAAUGAUGGCUGUGCUGGAGGGUUUGAUGAUGAUAGUGGGACUGAUUAAGAUGGUACUGAAGAUGGUUAAGAUGAUGCAGAUGGUGUAGAUGAUGGUUCUAAAGAUGUCGUUGAUGUUGUUAAUGUUAGUGAUGAAGAUGGUGAUGAAGGCUGUGAGUUUGCUGAUGAUGGUAAGGAUGCAGAAAAUAAUGUAGAGGUUCUUAAAAAUGUGAGAACUGUGCAGGUGGGGUUGGCGAUCAUGAUGAUAGCAGGAUUGAUGAAGAUGGUGAAGAUGAUAAAGUUGGUGUAGAUGAUAAUAUUGAAGAUGUUGUUGAUGAUGAUAACAAUAGUGGGACUGAUGAAGAUGGUGCUGAGAAUGGUGAAGAUGAUGAAGAUAGUGGUGUUGAAAAUGGUGUUGAAGAUGAUGAUGACAAUAAUAAAGGGACUCAUGAGGAUGUUGCUAAAGAUGGUGUAAAUGAAAAUGU
ensembl:lncRNA